rnacentral:snoRNA from 1 species
ACUCUCCAGAUUCCUUACCUCUCGGGUCUAAAUAAUGAUCUGAGUGGCAGAAAAGAGAAGGAAAAGUAAAACGGAGGGGAAAUUCGAGUCUCUAGUGACAAACGAAGUUCGUUUCCAACAUAC